CGCUGGCGGCGCGCCUAACACAUGCAAGUCGAACGAGAGAUGAGGAGCUUGCUCUUCAAAUCGAGUGGCGAACGGGUGAGUAACGCGUGAGGAACCUGCCUCAAAGAGGGGGACAACAGUUGGAAACGACUGCUAAUACCGCAUAAGCCCACGGCUCGGCAUCGAGCAGAGGGAAAAGGAGCAAUCCGCUUUGAGAUGGCCUCGCGUCCGAUUAGCUAGUUGGUGAGGUAAUGGCCCACCAAGGCGACGAUCGGUAGCCGGACUGAGAGGUUGAACGGCCACAUUGGGACUGAGACACGGCCCAGACUCCUACGGGAGGCAGCAGUGGGGAAUAUUGCACAAUGGGGGAAACCCUGAUGCAGCGACGCCGCGUGGAGGAAGAAGGUCUUCGGAUUGUAAACUCCUGUUGUUGAGGAAGAUAAUGACGGUACUCAACAAGGAAGUGACGGCUAACUACGUG
rnacentral:rRNA from 1 species